AGAGUUUGAUCCUGGCUCAGAUUGAACGCUGGCGGCAUGCCUUACACAUGCAAGUCGAACGGUAACAGGUCUUCGGACGCUGACGAGUGGCGAACGGGUGAGUAAUACAUCGGAACGUGCCCAGUCGUGGGGGAUAACUACUCGAAAGAGUAGCUAAUACCGCAUACGAUCUGAGGAUGAAAGCGGGGGACCUUCGGGCCUCGCGCGAUUGGAGCGGCCGAUGGCAGAUUAGGUAGUUGGUGGGAUAAAAGCUUACCAAGCCGACGAUCUGUAGCUGGUCUGAGAGGACGACCAGCCACACUGGGACUGAGACACGGCCCAGACUCCUACGGGAGGCAGCAGUGGGGAAUUUUGGACAAUGGGCGAAAGCCUGAUCCAGCAAUGCCGCGUGCAGGAUGAAGGCCUUCGGGUUGUAAACUGCUUUUGUACGGAACGAAAAAGCUUCUCCUAAUACGAGAGGCCCAUGACGGUACCGUAAGAAUAAGCACCGGCUAACUACGUGCCAGCAGCCGCGGUAAUA
rnacentral:rRNA from 1 species